rnacentral:rRNA from 1 species
CCAAUAGCGUAUAUUAAAGUUGUUGCAGUUAAAAAGCUCGUAGUUGAAUUUCGGGAUUGACGUAAUGGUCAUGCCUUAAGGGGUAUGAACUGUUACUGUUGAUUUCUCACCUUCUGGAAAAACUUGAUGUCCUUAAUUGGGUGUCUUGCGGAUCCAGGACCUUUACCUUGAAAAAAUUAGAGUGUUUAAAGCAGGCAUUUUGCUCGAAUACAUUAGCAUGGAAUAAUAGAAUAGGACGGCAUGGUUCUAUUUUGUUGGUUUCUAGGAUCACCGUAAUGAUUAAUAGGGAUAGUUGGGGGCAUUAGUAUUCAAUUGUCAGAGGUGAAAUUCUUGGAUUUAUUGAAGACUAACUACUGCGAAAGCAUUUGCCAAGGAUGUUUUCAUUAAUCAAGAACGAAAGUUAGGGGAUCGAGGACGAUCAGAUACCGUCGUAGUCUUAACCAUAAACUAUGCCGACUAGGAAUCAGACGAUGUUAAUUUUUUAAUGACUCGUUUGGCACCUUACG